GCAAGCCAAAGCCCAAUCAUAACAAGUGCCUUGGAUUGUAAUUACAGGGUGAUUUCCAGUGAUACCAACUACCUAUUUUUCCUCCUUGCAUUUUUGAAGGCCAAAGGUUGCUUCCCUAUUACAAUGCCUUUGUGUCUAUAUCAGGAAAAAAAAAAUCAACUUUUAAUAAACAGAUGUACUACUGAGAAGAAAAUUUGCUACAAAUAAAUGAAGCAGAGCACCUACAACUAUGUUUGAUGUAGGAGAGGAGGAGCAGGGGCUUGCCAGGCCCAGAGCAGAGUGUGAUGUUGGCCGGCAAGGCUGGGAAGCUGAAACCAGUUCAAAUUCCUCCCACAGCUCUCCUCCUCUGAAUGAAGUUAUAUUUCAAGAAGCAUGCGAAGUAACAGAGACGUAUUUACAUUCUGAUUUACACAGGAAUUAAUCAUAG